rnacentral:tRNA from 1 species
CAGUAAGUAGUUUAUUUUAAAAUAUUAAUUUUGGAGAUUAAAGAUGUUUAUUAAAUCUUGCUGA